rnacentral:lncRNA from 1 species
GCUAAGAAUAUUCUAGAAUAUGCUAGAGUAUGUUUAUAAACUAUUUAAAUAUUAACUUCCACAAGAUGGUUCAUAUAAAUCAAAUGUAUCAAACUUGUCAUGUAUAUCUGAUUCUAGGACCUCGCAUAAAUUUUGUAAAAAUUUCAUCAACGUAUCAUUAGUAUGAACAUUACUAAGAUAUGUCGAAAUAAAUUUAUUUAUCUUAUUUGAAUUGAUAAAAUUUACCAAUCUCACAUAUGAGAUAUGGAUGUAAGAUUGAUCUCCAAAAACCUUUUAUGUCGUGUUAGUGAGAUGAUCCUUAUAUUCUUGAUCACAAACCCGUAAUUUGAUGUCAACUAUCUAACUCUUAAUACUUUGACUUGUUCAAAUUGUUCAAUACACUCUUAGAAGCAUCAGAAGUAGAAAAGGUAGCCAUGGACAAUAAACAAAGGUGAAAAAUGCGUACAAAAUUGAGAUUGUUCUCAUUGGAACAUAGGUUUCCGAAAAUUGAAAAACAUAGGGAAAUAUGGAAAUAGAAUGGAGAGUCUGACGGACCAAACAGAGGCUGAAACCGUUGUCACUCGCAGCUUAGGCGGCGACAUGUUCGAUCUACAUGUGUUGGGAUAUAAGGCGCAUGUGAGUGUGUGCUUUGGUGGUUGACAGUGACUUUUUUGUUUGCGAUGGUGAAUGAUUUAUAUGAGGUUAUGAUGAUGGUGGUAGUAGCUUGCAAAAAAGGUCGACGUUGAAAGAAUACACGACUAUGGCAGCUUAGAUGUAAAAUAGCUGAAAAUGGAGUCCAGAGAAGUUAUGGCAGCGAAGAAGUGGAAAACCAAAGUUGAAACAUAAUUUGCAAGAAAAAAUCCUCAUUGAAGGACAAUGGCUCUGUUAAGUGUUGACAUGUGAUAUUGUAUUUCAAUGGAAUCUAGUUAAUGGAUAUCAUAUUGGAAUAAAGAGAAUAAAAUAAUACAAAAGGUAUACACAAAAAUUAUGUAUUUAAAUAGAAUC